CGGAGUCUUAACUACCUACAAAUGCUAGUUUCUUUUCCCUCACAUCAUACCAAACCCAAGAAUGCUUCUUUGGUGAAGAUAAUUAAAAACACAUCUGCAAACAAUCAUAAUAUGUAUGUUUUAAAAGAUCACAGCAUUAAACGCAUGCUGGAUGAGGUGUCUGGAGAUGGAUUUAUUCUUAGAAGCACCACUCACUGUGAAAUUUCUUGGAAAACCCAUUUCAUCUCCUGUUCCAUAUUUUACUAUUUCUACAACUGAAAUAAGAAUCCUUUCUGCUCACUGAAGACGACUGCUAAGGGUUAAAUGUGUAUAUCAUCCUACAAACACACAGCCCACUCUCACUGGCCGCUCUUUGAAGAUUAUUGUCGGUGACAUCUUCAGGAUGCGUUUGGAAUCUAGAGCAUCAUUUGUGUUGCAAUGGGGAAUUACGCUGACUUAUCUGUCAUUGCCAAAAGCACAACAAGCGAGUCAAUGUUAAUGCAAAGGGUAAAAGUUCUGACAAAUACAUGGAGGUGACUUCAUUGCUGUGUGAAUAUUAUGUAGCGUGUGUACAUAAACUAAGGAGACUAUGACAGACCAUUUUAUGAGGACAUCUAUCUACAAAAAAGCAAUGUCUAGGAGACACCAGACCAUGUGUUAUCUGUGCAGAUGGAGAGAGAUGGUAAAACCCUCAUACCUUUAGGGUCAAGAAAAUAUGAUUUGCUAAAAGACUACAUAUGAGAAACUUCAUACUGAGAAAUAAUCUGCAUGGACCCCACAUGGAGGCGGACAUCCACUGCUUAUACAGCAAAGCAUGCACGCCGCAGCUCAGCUCCAGAGGAUCCAAAGCAAGGAACAUCGAGUUGCAUCUUACCUGCGUGCCACCUCUGGGAGCUAAGGAUACGCCUGCCAGACUGGAAAGGUUUCACUUCACAGGAGCUGUCUUGAAAGAGACUCACCACUCCAGGCUUCCUACCUUGUUAAUCUACUAAAAGCCCACUGGAGGCCCUCUGGUUUUCUUUCUCUUUACCAUUUGACUCUGGAAGUACAACUCAAGCAUUGUACUUCCAAGAAAAGAAUUCAGUUCAAGAGUCCUGACUGGUAAGACUGAAUGAGCAAUCUUGCUCACCCCAAACCUGAAGACUGACACCGAUGCCAGGGCAGGCAGGGAACCCACUGUGACUCUUACUUUGUCAUCUGACCUACACAUGUGUGACAUGGUGUACAUGUAAGCCCAUCCCAACAGAUAAAUAAACAAAUAAAAGUUAAUAAAACUAAAGUUUCCCGUGCUCACCUUGACAGUAGCUACCCAAAGAAGAUUAAAGGGCCACCAGACUAGGAUGACAGUGACGUGUUCCUCAGUUUAAAAGGUUGCAUGUUGUCCUUAAUUCAUUAAAUAGAUCACUU